rnacentral:rRNA from 1 species
GGUCAUUUAGAGGAAGUAAAAGUCGUAACAAGGUUUCCGUAGGUGAACCUGCGGAAGGAUCAUUAUUGAUUGCGAAUCGUUGUCUUCAGUGCUGGCCAGCUCUGGCAAGUGCACGUUGGCGGCUUUUCAUCCAAUACCCCUGUGAACCUUUGGCCUCUUGCUGGCUUUGGCUGGCAGAGGAUUUUUUACACCCGCUCGAAUGUAAUGAAAUUAUUGUUGUGCGCAAGCACUACUGUACAACUUUCAACAACGGAUCUCUUGGCUCUCGCAUCGAUGAAGAACGCAGCGAAAUGCGAUAAGUAAUGUGAAUUGCAGAAUUCAGUGAAUCAUCGAAUCUUUGAACGCACCUUGCACCCUUUGGCAUUCCGAAGGGUAUGCUCGUUUGAGUGUCAUUGUACUCUCACACUUCUGAUCUUUUGGGUCGGGAGCGGUGGACUUGGGUGUUGCUGCUUUACUGUGGCUCACCUCAAAUGCAUUAGUGCAACUCUUGGUUGGACAUAGUACGGCGUGAUAAGUAUCUUCGCCGGCACCUCGCAAGAGGGUGGCUGAUCAGGAGAUCUGUGCUUUCCAACUGUCUUCAGACAACAACUGACAACUUGACCUCAAAUCGAGUAGGACCACCCGCUGAACUUAAGCAUAUCAAUAAGCGGAGGA